rnacentral:lncRNA from 1 species
AAAUGACAGAAGAGGCAGGGGAGAGCAUUAUGGUGGAGGCUGUAAAAACAGAUCCAGGAAUGCAUCCAGAAAGCCUGGCUUCGAGAAACAGGAUGCACAGACAGGAUGAUCUGCCCCUGUGAUCCCUCAGCAUGCAGGCCUGUGGGCACAGCCAGGACCCUGGACAGCAGAACGCUGGGCUUCAGGAAUUGAGACACAAUCUUUGGUCGCAGCAGAAGCAAAGAGGACUUGGCUCUCACAAGAAUGCCUGGGACUGCAAUAAACUUCACACCCAUAACUCAGCCACACUGGGGCAGAGGCUGCAAACACACUGACUGGAGACUCUGGGCAUCUCACCACUUCCUCUCAGUGUGCUCCAGAGCUCCUCCUCCAGAGGUCUCCUCACAGAAUGGGACUGUAGAUUCCACACCAGGUGAAGCAAGAGACAACAGCGGCGAAAGCACAGAUUUCUCCUUUCUCAGGUCAGCCUCUGUGUUUGUAGCAGCUUACUUUAUUAACACAUCCCUUUGAAUUUUCUGAUUGUGUUGGAAGGUUCACUAAAUUCCAGGUCUUUUUUUUUUAAUUUUUAAAUUUAAAUAACACCCA